AGUGGGAGCACAGGUUUACCUGUGUGACUGCGUACCUUUUGUAUAAUGGGUCAGCGACUUAUAUUCUGUAGCAAGGUUAACCGUAUAGGGGAGCCGUAGGGAAACCGAGUCUUAACCGGGCGUUAAGUUGCAGGGUAUAGACCCGAAACCCGGUGAUCUAGCCAUGGGCAGGUUGAAGGUUGGGUAACACUAACUGGAGGACCGAACCGACUAAUGUUGAAAAAUUAGCGGAUGACCUGUGGCUGGGGGUGAAAGGCCAAUCAAACCGGGAGAUAGCUGGUUCUCCCCGAAAGCUAUUUAGGUAGCGCCUCGUGAAUUCAUCUCCGGGGGUAGAGCACUGUUUCGGCUAGGGGGCCAUCCCGGCUUACCAACCCGAUGCAAACUGCGAAUACCGGAGAAUGUUAUCACGGGAGACACACGGCGGGUGCUAACGUCCGUCGUGAAGAGGGAAACAACCCAGACCGCCAGCUAAGGUCCCAAAGUCAUGGUUAAGUGGGAAACGAUGUGGGAAGGCCCAGACAGCCAGGAUGUUGGCUUAGAAGCAGCCAUCAUUUAAAGAAAGCGUAAUAGCUCACUGGUCGAGUCGGCCUGCGCGGAAGAUGUAACGGGGCUAAACCAUGCACCGAAGCUGCGGCAGCGAACGUAUCACUUAAAGCGAUUCAGCGGGUUACGAUUGACGGAGCGAAGCGACGUCAAAGCGUAUACAAAGUCGAGUCGGUUUAAGGAUACGUUCGUUGGGUAGGGGAGCGUUCUGUAAGCCUGUGAAGGUGGCCUGUGAGGGUUGCUGGAGGUAUCAGAAGUGCGAAUGCUGACAUAAGUAACGAUAAAGCGGGUGAAAAGCCCGCUCGCCGGAAGACCAAGGGUUCCUGUCCAACGUUAAUCGGGGCAGGGUGAGUCGACCCCUAAGGCGAGGCCGAAAGGCGUAGUCGAUGGGAAACGGGUUAAUAUUCCCGUACUUGGUGUUACUGCGAAGGGGGGACGGAGAAGGCUAUGUUGGCCGGGCGACGGUUGUCCCGGUUUAAGCGUGUAGGUGUGUGUUCCAGGUAAAUCCGGUUCACUUUAACACUGAGGCGUGACGACGAGGCACUACGGUGCUGAAGCAACAAAUGCCCUGCUUCCAGGAAAAGCCUCUAAGCAUCAGGUAACAUCAAAUCGUACCCCAAACCGACACAGGUGGUCAGGUAGAGAAUACCAAGGCGCUUGAGAGAACUCGGGUGAAGGAACUAGGCAAAAUGGUGCCGUAACUUCGGGAGAAGGCACGCUGACACGUAGGUGAAGUGAUUUACUCAUGGAGCUGAAGUCAGUCGAAGAUACCAGCUGGCUGCAACUGUUUAUUAAAAACACAGCACUGUGCAAACACGAAAGUGGACGUAUACGGUGUGACGCCUGCCCGGUGCCGGAAGGUUAAUUGAUGGGGUCAGCGCAAGCGAAGCUCCUGAUCGAAGCCCCGGUAAACGGCGGCCGUAACUAUAACGGUCCUAAGGUAGCGAAAUUCCUUGUCGGGUAAGUUCCGACCUGCACGAAUGGCGUAAUGAUGGCCAGGCUGUCUCCACCCGAGACUCAGUGAAAUUGAACUCGCUGUGAAGAUGCAGUGUACCCGCGGCAAGACGGAAAGACCCCGUGAACCUUUACUAUAGCUUGACACUGAACAUUGAGCCUUGAUGUGUAG
rnacentral:rRNA from 1 species